rnacentral:rRNA from 1 species
UACGGAGGAUGCGAGCGUUAUCCGGAUUUAUUGGGUGUAAAGGGAGCGCAGACGGCAGUGCAAGUCUGGAGUGAAAGCCCGGGGCUCAACCCCGGGACUGCUUUGGAAACUGCAUAGCUGGAGUGCUGGAGAGGCAAGCGGAAUUCCUAGUGUAGCGGUGAAAUGCGUAGAUAUCACGCAGAACUCCGAUUGCGAAGGCAGCAUACCGGCGCCCAACUGACGCUGAAGCACGAAAGCGUGGGUAUCGAACAGG